UAACUUUAAUAAAUAAUCAAUCACUAACUACCCAACAUAAAGUUUCUUAUAUUUGAUAUGUCUUUUAGGACUAAAAUAUAAGUGAAGGUUAGGAUGGUUCAUUUCGGAAUAAUGAGAACCCUAUAUACUAUACACAAACAAUUUAUCUCUUCUCCAUAUCUAAAGAGUAUUCAAGGCAUUAGGAUAAUGAUUGAGGAAGAACUAUACAAGCCAUCAGGAGUUCAUUGUUUGUCUUCUAUCUUUCAUGAUUACCGCCAACAAAAAUCUUUCUCAAUAGAUUCAUUUUUCAAUAGAUCCAAGCAUUCCUGCAA
rnacentral:lncRNA from 1 species